CCAAUAGCGUAUAUUAAAGUUGCUGCAGUUAAAAAGCUCGUAGUUGAAUUUCGGGACCAAUAUGUCGGUCGUGCCUCGGUACGUACUGGCAUCGUUGGUUUCUCCCUUCUGACGAACCAUGAUGUCAUUUAUUUGGUGUCAUGGGGAAUCAGGACUGUUACUUUGAAAAAAUUAGAGUGUUUAAAGCAGGCUCACGCUUGAAUACAUUAGCAUGGAAUAA
rnacentral:rRNA from 1 species